CUCUUCUACAAACAAAAAGACAGCAGAAGGAUACAGAGAAGAUUAGCAUGGUCCUUACGCAAGGAUGACACACACAAAAUCAAGAAGCAAACGGAUCCACGUUCAU